UACGGAGGGUGCGAGCGUUGUCCGGAAUCAUUGGGCGUAAAGGGCGCGUAGGUGGCCCGGUCAGUUCGUGGUGAAAGCGCGGGGCUCAACCCUGCGUCGGCCAUGAAUACUGCCGCGGCUGGAGCACUGUAGAGGCAGGCGGAAUUCCGGGUGUAGCGGUGGAAUGCGUAGAUAUCGGGAGGAACACCUGUGGCGAAAGCGGCGCACUGGACCAUAACUGACGCUGAUGCGCGAAAGCUAGGGGAGCAAACAGG
rnacentral:rRNA from 1 species